rnacentral:rRNA from 1 species
CUACGGGGUGCACCAGUCGAGAAUCUUUCGCAAUGGGGGAAACCCUGACGAAGCGACGCCGCGUGCAGGAUGACGGCCCUCGGGUUGUAAACUGCUGUCAGCUGGGAAGAAAAGUUUUUGGUGAAUAACCAGAAACCUUGACGGUACCAGCAGAGGAAGCCACGGCUAACUCUGUGCCAGCAGCCGCGGUAAUACAGAGGUGGCGAGCGUUGUUCGGAUUUAUUGGGCGUAAAGGGUCCGUAGGCGGCCUGAAAAGUCGGGUGUGAAAUCCCACAGCUUAACUGUGGAACUGCACUCGAAACUGUCAGGCUGGAGUGUGAGAGGGGUAAAGGGAAUUCCCAGUGUAAGGGUGAAAUCUGCAGAUAUUGGGAAGAACACCAGUCGCGAAGGCGCUUUACUGGCUCACUACUGACGCUGAGGGACGAAAGCUAGGGUAGCAAACGGGAUUAGAUACCCGCGUAGUC